UAGCUAGUUGGUAGGGUAAGGGCCUACCAAGGCGACGAUCGGUAGCUGGUCUGAGAGGAUGGCCAGCCACACUGGAACUGAGACACGGUCCAGACUCCUACGGGAGGCAGCAGUGGGGAAUAUUGGACAAUGGGGGCAACCCUGAUCCAGCAAUGCCGCGUGUGUGAAGAAGGCCUGAGGGUUGUAAAGCACUUUCAGUGGGGAGGAGAGGACUUAGGUUAAGAGCUAGAGUUCUGGACGUUACCCACAGAAGAAGCACCGGCUAACUCCGUGCCAGCAGCCGCGGUAAUACGGAGGGUGCGAGCGUUAAUCGGAAUUACUGGGCGUAAAGGGUGCGUAGGUGGUUAGAUAAGUUAUCUGUGAAAUCCCUAGGCUCAACCUGGGCAGGUCAGAUGAUACUGUUUAACUCGAGUAUGGGAGAGGGUAGUGGAAUUUCCGGUGUAGCGGUGAAAUGCGUAGAGAUCGGAAGGAACACCAGUGGCGAAGGCGGCUACCUGGCCUAAUACUGACACUGAGGCACGAAAGCGUGGGGAGCAAACAGGGUUAGGUACCCUGGUAGUCCACGCUGUAAACGAUGUCAACUAGCUGUUGGUUAUAUAAAAAUAAUUAGUGGCGC
rnacentral:rRNA from 1 species